rnacentral:rRNA from 1 species
UCAGCAAUGGCCGGAGCGCGGUUGAACUUUUGUAAAUUUGGACGACUAGAGGAAGAAGAAGUCGUAACAAGGUUUCCGUAGGUGAACCUGCGGAAGGAUCAUUAGCGUUAAUUGGUCUUGGUGCCAUGCGAAAAACAUGUGGAUUGUGGGCUAUGUGA